rnacentral:rRNA from 1 species
GACGAACGCUGGCGGCGUGCUUAACACAUGCAAGUCGAACGGAAAGGCCCUGCUUUUGUGGGGUGCUCGAGUGGCGAACGGGUGAGUAACACGUGAGUAACCUGCCCUUGACUUUGGGAUAACUUCAGGAAACUGGGGCUAAUACCGGAUAGGAGCUCCUGCUGCAUGGAGGGGGUUGGAAAGUUUCGGCGGUUGGGGAUGGACGCGCGGCUUAUCAGCUUGUUGGUGGGGUAGUGGCUUACCAAGGCUUUGACGGGUAGCCGGCCUGGGAGGGUGACCGGCCACAUUGGGACUGAGAUACGGCCCAGACUCCUACGGGAGGCAGCAGUGGGGAAUAUUGCACAAUGGGCGGAAGCCUGAUGCAGCAACGCCGCGUGCGGGAUGACGGCCUUCGGGUUGUAAACCGCUUUCGCCUGUGACGAAGCGUGAGUGACGGUAAUGGGUAAAGAAGCACCGGCUAACUACGUG